ACACGCGUAUUUGCACUAUCAUCUCACCAAUGCUCAAAACACUCACCAACCAACAUUAGGUUCAUUGCUUCACAACUUCAACCUUCAAGAUGGAUCUUUGAAGUUCACUUUCUUCUUCAUUGACUCUUUCAAAUUCAAGUUUCUUAAUUGUAUUUUGUGAUGUGACCAUUUUUAUUUGCCCUGAUCCAUUUGUGGAAAGGAAAAUUGCAUGAAAAUGACUAUAAACAAAAUAGUAAUAUUUAACAACCAUCCAAGCAAGUUGUUGAUGAAGAUGGAGAUACUCUUGCUCAAAUUUCGACAAACAUUCAUCAUCUGAAUCAAAUUUUGGUAUUUAAGUUGUCUGUAUACGAUCAUUAUCAGUUGUAUUGGUUAAUGAAUGCUCACCGAAUGAAAUAAUGCAUUUAUUGCAAAUGAUGUACCUUUACAUUUGAGUUUUAUACAUGAUCAAUGUAAA